rnacentral:rRNA from 1 species
AUGCAAAGCCUGAGGCAGUACAAUUCCUUAGUUGUUGCCAUUGAUAGGCAGCUGUUUGACCACCUAUCAGCAACAAAGAUGAAGAUAAGGAAGGCCCCGGCUCUCCUGAAGAAGGCAACAGCCUUGUGGAAGAGCAAGACCGGCAUCUUCAUGGCCAGGAUCCUCGUCCUCGCCUUGCUCCGUCGCAGGAUGGCCACGGUUGGUGCCAUUUCUCACAGGAUCCAUGCCUUCAUUGUGGCCGGCGGGGAAAAGUGUUCAAAAGUGGAUUACCACAAGGCUCUCAUGCUACGCAAGGUCGGGAAGCCGACGUACCAUGGCGGUGAGAUGGUUGAUGCCUCCCACUAUUUAGCAUUGUUUGGUCAAGAGGAUGGUUUUGAUGGCUUCCCUGACUGGACACUGCACCCCAGCUUCAGCAACGGUGACGAUUUCUAUUACACUGACGAGUAUGACACUGACGGCGAUGAGGGAGACGAGCCCCGGUGA